UCCCGCCCCGGCCGCCGCUGGAUGGCGCCAGAGGCCUCGCGGCGGGAGAGCGGCCCAGGGCCGUUCCCUGCUGGCGGGCGGCCGUGCCCUGUGAAUUCCCGCAAAUUCCCGAAUUUUACAUGGCAGGAAGGGAGUGCGAGGCACACGUAGGGCAUGGCACGGGCAGUGUAGCAGAGUGAGAGAUGAGGCUGGGGUUGAGAGACGUUUAAAGUCUGUGUUAGGGCCAUUCAUCGCGUGGGUGAUGAGCCUUUCCCUCUGGGUUUGGGUAUCGGCUUGGAAAGGAAAUUUUGGCUUUCGUGACGUGCAUUAAAAAAUGGUCAUGCCUGCUCACCAAGCUGCUUAAAGAUGGGGAACAAAGAGACGACAUAGACUUUUAUUCCAGAAAAAGUCACUCUCCAGUGAGAGAAAGAAGGUCUUCCCAAACUUUGCUGGUGACAGAAGGCAAGGCAGGACUGUGACAGACCAGACUGCCUCACUGACUUGAAACCUUUGUUCCACCUGAAAUGUGCCCUGCUCUUGUACCUCCCUUUGCUAAGCUAAUCUGAAGCUGAGCAGAAGGAAGUUUGCCACAAUGAAUCACUCAAGAGUCUGUUGUGGGGUCAUACAGAAUGGGAGAGUUUUGCAAGGCUGAAGACUGCAGAGGAGCUGAAGAAAAUUAUGAGGAGAUUUUUUUGCUAACCUGUUACUAGACAUGAAGGAAGGUCUGGAGAUUUAAAAUCUUCUUAGUAUGCAGACAAAGAUAACAGGAUAUGAACUGAAAGGUUUAAGCAGCGCUUAAAGUCUACCUUGAACCCAAUGAUGCAUGAUUGUGCAAGUAACUUCUUCAAGUGCCUCCCAGUAAAUACCUAG